rnacentral:rRNA from 1 species
UACGGAGGGUGCAAGCGUUAUCCGGAUUCACUGGGUUUAAAGGGUGCGUAGGCGGGCAGGUAAGUCAGUGGUGAAAUCUUUCGAGCUUAACUCGGAAACUGCCUUUGAUACUAUCUGUCUUUGAAUAUUGUGGAGGUAAGCGGAAUAUGUCAUGUAGCGGUGAAAUGCUUAGAUAUGACAUAGAACACCUAUUGCGAAGGCAGCUUUACUACGCAUAUAUUUGACGCUGAGGCACGAAAAGCGUGGGGAUCAAACAGG